UUAUAAGGAAUAAACAUAAAUAUUGCGAAAAUUACCGAUAAGAGUCCGAAAUUCGUUUUAAAGUUUAUAGAAAUUUUGGGGGAAUUUAUGUUGACUUUGGCAACAUUGAAAGUUGUACAGUACUCGUCCCACCAUUUUAAAUUGUUGGCGGAAGGUCACCGAACAGUUGCGAGUUCCCCAGGAAGGUUCCUUAAAUUACACAGGUACAGUGAACUCGCCUCCGUCAACCACACCGGACGAGACAAAAAUUUUCAUCGGAAUUGACGAAAACCCCGGAUAAGACUGUUUAAUACCAGGACAAGACUAUUUCUCGGCUUAGACAAGACUACGGUCUAGACAAAUACCAGAAUGGACGACAUUCUUUUAGCAAGGCUUAGGCUCAUUAAUGACAAACUCACAACAGACUUAGAAGUAAUUCCGGUUACUGUUAAUUUAGAAAAUUUAGUGCAAGCUCAGAUUACCUACGGUAAAUUAGAAGCAUCACUGAAAAGACUUA